rnacentral:rRNA from 1 species
CUACGUGCCAGCAGCCGCGGUAAUACGUAGGUCCCGAGCGUUGUCCGGAUUUAUUGGGCGUAAAGCGAGCGCAGGCGGUUAGAUAAGUCUGAAGUUAAAGGCUGUGGCUUAACCAUAGUACGCUUUGGAAACUGUUUAACUUGAGUGCAAGAGGGGAGAGUGGAAUUCCAUGUGUAGCGGUGAAAUGCGUAGAUAUAUGGAGGAACACCGGUGGCGAAAGCGGCUCUCUGGCUUGUAACUGACGCUGAGGCUCGAAAGCGUGGGGAGCAAACAGGAUUAGAUACCCUGGUAGUCCACGCCGUAAACGAUGAGUGCUAGGUGUUAGACCCUUUCCGGGGUUUAGUGCCGCAGCUAACGCAUUAAGCACUCCGCCUGGGGAGUACGACCGCAAGGUUGAAACUCAAAGGAAUUGACGGGGGCCCGCACAAGCGGUGGAGUAUGUGGUUUAAUUCGACGCAACGCGAAGAACCUUACCAGGUCUUGACAUUGAUGGACAGAACUAGAGAUAG